UGCCGCAUAAGGACUCGGCCCUUCCCUGUUCCCAGCCCAAGAAAGGUGUCAAGAGUAGCACGGGAAUAUCUCUCUGACCAUCUAGGGGUCUGUUGCUGACUCGGUGCCUCCUUGUCCUGCGUACUCCCAGGUCAGGACAUCGGCUUGACUGGUGGCCACCUGCUGACCUCAGAGCCCUCGGAGCGAAUCCAGCUGUCCAAUUGAAACCAAGCAUGGUCCUCUGCGGCUUGGCCUCUUUUUCUCCCGAGAUGGUUGCGGGGCACUUAUUGGGUGAAGACCCUCAUUCAUUCUGGGGUGUGUCAGGAGUUUCUUCGAGACAGGACCAAGCUAUGAGCCUGUGGCAGGAGCAUCCGAGGCACAGCUCAGCCUCUCCCGUGCUGCACACCCCUGUGUGCAGGUGCCCUUGCCCGCAGCCGCGGCUCCAGGUCCGCGUGGAGUCAGCUGCUGCUGUCAAGCAUUUUCACAGUACAGUUACUGGUCUACUCCAGCACAGUCACGAGGCACCUUGAGAGGCUGCAAAAGACCCCUAAAGUCUUCCGCAUCUUUAUCAUUCCUCAAGGGAUGGGUUCCAGGACCCCCGAGUUUAACCCACCUGCAGGAGCUCAAGUUCCUGAUGUAAAAUGAUGUCGGAUUUGCAAGUAACCUGCACACAUCCUCCCGGUACUUUAAAUCAUCCCUGGAUUAUUCAUUGUACCGAAUACAAUGGAAAUGCUAUGUAAAUAGUUGUUACACUGUGUUGUUAUUUUUAUUUGUAUUUUUUCUAUAUUGUUAUUUUUUAU
rnacentral:lncRNA from 10 species